GAGGCGGCGAGGAGCCGGCCGGCAGGUGCGUGCCCCGGUUCCCCUCAGCGCCGUGCCCUGUGGGGGCUGCCCCCGCCUGCAGCCUUCCCCUCAGCUCGUCGCUGAAGCCGGGUGUUACCGGCCCUGCCGUGAGCCUCGGUGCGAGCGACCUGUCCCCACGCCCCGGCUUGCCGAGUUUGAUUUCUUCCGUAAUUACUCGAGAUAUAAUAGUUGUUUGGAAGUUCAGAGCUCUAAACUGCUCCACCAGGCAUCUCUGUGUCAUCCAGGUCUACAGUCUUUCAGACUUAGAAGCAUGCUACUGCUGUGUUUGAGGAAGCAUUAGAAUGUGUCACCCAAUACCCGCAAGUCUGAAAUACGAGAAGAUUGCAUCAGGAUAUUUUUGGCAGGGUCUCAGCUCAAGAAAACUCCUGAACCACUACUGCUAUGUCCCAUGCAGACUAACCUAGACACUCCUUAGCUGCAAGAUGUGUACCACCUGCUGAGAUACAGUAAGUUGAAAUAUUGGGUGAAUAAAUGAGCUAUGUUGCUGUAUGAGAUACGUUUGAUGGAAAGAAAGAGUGUUUAAAAACACAGUGCAGCCUGAAAGGAGAGACAAAAUCAGAAUCACGGUAUGGAUCCUGAGGACAGAAGUUACAGCGACAAGUCCUGAAAUGAGCCUUCUAUUUUUUCAUGACACUGGUUUGGUCCUCUGACUGCUCAAGUAGACUUAAGGAUUCUCAAUCAUCUUCACAAGAACAGAAAGGAGGGUGGAAAAGGAAGGCAAAGAAGAGAAGAUUUAUUUAGAAGCUCCAUCAUUCUGCAGCCCACAGAAGGCUUCAUGAAUGCACAGUACCAAUAUUUCAGAAUCUAUACCCUCUACAUAUGACUGCUUGCCAUUAUCUUUACCACAACAUUAGCUCUGAUGUGUCCAAAAAUCUCUAGGGUAAAGAAAUGACUUAUGAAUGAAUUACCUGAAGCAAAUCAUCAAGAAAAUAAAUUUAAACAUCACAAUCUGACAUUCUAUUUCAUUAACAUUCUGGGGGAAAAAACAUAACAAAAAAAGAACAUUUGUCAAGUUUUCAUGUCCACGUGCAACACUUCUUAUGCCAUAACACAUAUUGAAGUUGAAAACAGAGCCUUGUGUGGAUAUCAGUGAACACGGAAUUCCAGUCAUAUGGAUUUAUUCCGAGCACCAUAGUACCUGGUCCUGUGAAGUGAGACACUCACCAACAAAAUAUCAUGGAAUUUUGUUAGCAAUCACAGAAAGUCAAAGACAGGAUCUGUCUCUAUGUUUGAAAAGUACCUGGAGUAUUUUUGUCUCUAAGCUUAAUAAAUAAAAAUGGAUGUGUUUAGCGAUUCGGCCUGUUUGCAGCUUCCAGGUCUUCAGACGGCCAGAAUUUGCAGAUCCUAUAUGAUUGUCAUUCAUGUAUUCCCAGUGUAUUCAAAGACCACCUGGCUAGAUGCAUGAAAUGUAGUUUUAUUUGCAAUCAUGAUGGUUAAGAGAAAUCUUAUAGAUUCUUGAACUGUAAGGAUGUUACAGGUCUUUCUGGAUAUUCUAAGCAGUUUCUAAAACUAUUUUGCUUUGAUUCAUUUGGAGAAAAAUAGAAGACGGAAAAAAGAUUCAGAGAAGUGUUAAGGUUACUACUAACACCUUCUCAGACAUAUUUAAAUGGGAAGCAGAUUGUAGAUCUGUUUAUCUCAAGGAGAAACACAUUCCUAAGGGUUUCCAUGAGUCUGAAAGGGCUGUGCUGGUGAAGAAUUGAGAAAAAGACCUAACAAUCUGCUGCCUUGCAACUGCAGAUCCAGUUGAAGUGGGAGCUGCUGUCAGCUUCUGCCAAAGAUAGAGAAGUCUACUGCUUUAUCUUUAACUUCCAGAUCUUGCAGAAGACAUUGAAAUUCCCAGAAGAGACAUCUGAUACGAAUCACUUGGAACAGUCUGUUAUAUCCAUUUGGAAACUUACAGGUACAGGUUUGCACAGGAGAACAUAUGAAUGUUUAACAUGGAAAACUUCAAACCCACAAUGGUUCUUAGUGGAAUUAAUUCCAGAAGAUCCAAGAAUGACUAAUGUCAGUUGGCUCUUACCUGUUUUUAUUU